rnacentral:rRNA from 1 species
CCUACGGGGGGCUGCAGUGGGGAAUUUUGCGCAAUGGGCGAAAGCCUGACGCAGCAACGCCGCGUGUGUGAUGAAGGUUUUCGGAUUGUAAAGCACUUUCGGCCGGGACGAACACCCCUGAGCUAACAUCUCAGGGCCUGACGGUACCGGAAGAAGAAGCACCGGCUAACUCUGUGCCAGCAGCCGCGGUAAUACAGAGGGUGCAAGCGUUGUUCGGAAUUAUUGGGCGUAAAGCGCGUGUAGGCGGCUUUGCAAGUCGGGUGUGAAAGCCCUCA